UACGUAGGUGGCAAGCGUUGUCCGGAUUUAUUGGGUUUAAGGGUGCGUAGGCGGCUUAUUAAGUCCGUGGUGAAAUACUCUAGCUCAACUAGAGGGGUGCCAUUGAUACUGAUGAGCUUGAGUACAGAUGAGGUAGGCGGAAUUGACGGUGUAGCGGUGAAAUGCUUAGAUAUCGUCAAGAACACCUAUAGCGAAGGCAGCUUACUAGGCUGUAACUGACGCUGAGGCACGAAAGUGUGGGGAGCAAACAGG
rnacentral:rRNA from 1 species